rnacentral:rRNA from 1 species
GACGAACGCUGGCGGCGUGCUUAACACAUGCAAGUCGAACGAUGAUGCCCAGCUUGCUGGGCGGAUUAGUGGCGAACGGGUGAGUAACACGUGAGUAACCUGCCCUUGACUUCGGGAUAACUCCGGGAAACCGGGGCUAAUACCGGAUAUGAGCCGUCCUCGCAUGGGGGUGGCUGGAAAGUUUUUCGGUCAGGGAUGGGCUCGCGGCCUAUCAGCUUGUUGGUGGGGUGAUGGCCUACCAAGGCGACGACGGGUAGCCGGCCUGAGAGGGCGACCGGCCACACUGGGACUGAGACACGGCCCAGACUCCUACGGGAGGCAGCAGUGGGGAAUAUUGCACAAUGGGCGAAAGCCUGAUGCAGCGACGCCGCGUGAGGGAUGAAGGCCUUCGGGUUGUAAACCUCUUUCAGCAGGGAAGAAGCGCAAGUGACGGUACCUGCAGAAGAAGCGCCGGCUAACUACGUGCCAGCAGCCGCGGUAAUACGUAGGGCGCAAGCGUUGUCCGGAAUUAUUGGGCGUAAAGAGCUCGUAGGCGGUUUGUCGCGUCUGGUGUGAAAACUCGAGGCUCAACCUCGAGCUUGCAUCGGGUACGGGCAGACUAGAGUGCGGUAGGGGAGACUGGAAUUCCUGGUGUAGCGGUGGAAUGCGCAGAUAUCAGGAGGAACACCGAUGGCGAAGGCAGGUCUCUGGGCCGCAACUGACGCUGAGGAGCGAAAGCAUGGGGAGCGAACAGG